rnacentral:rRNA from 1 species
GACGAACGCUGGCGGCGUGCCUGACACAUGCAAGUCGGACGGUUCUUGCACCUUCAAGCUUGCUUGUUGGUUCAAGGAUAGUGGCGGACGGGUGAGUAACGCGUGAACACCUACCCAUUGGAGGGGUACAACCCGUCGAAAGGCGGGCUAAUACCGCGUAAGCCGCGAGGUGAAAGGCUGCCUUUUGGUGGCUGCCGAUGGAUGGGUUCGCGUCCUAUCAGCUUGUUGGUGGGUAAUGGCCUACCAAGGCGAAGACGGGUAGCCGGUCUGAGAGGAUGGCCGGCCACACUGGAACUGAGACACGGUCCAGACUCCUACGGGAGGCAGCAGGUGGGGAAUCGUUGGGCAAGUGGGGGGGACCCUGGACCCAGCGACGCCGCGUGAGGGACGAAGGUUUUCGGAUCGUAAACCUCUGUUGUACGGGAAGAAGGAUGUGACGGUACCGUACGAGUAAGCCCCGGCAAACUACGUGCCAGCAGCCCGCGGUAAAAUCACGUGUA